rnacentral:rRNA from 1 species
UACGUAGGGUGCAAGCGUUAAUCGGAAUUACUGGGCGUAAAGCGUGCGCAGGCGGUUCUAUAAGACAGAUGUGAAAUCCCCGGGCUCAACCUGGGAACUGCAUUUGUGACUGUAGAGCUGGAGUACGGCAGAGGGGGAUGGAAUUCCGCGUGUAGCAGUGAAAUGCGUAGAUAUGCGGAGGAACACCGAUGGCGAUGGCAAUCCCCUGGGCCUGUACUGACGCUCAUGCACGAAAGCGUGGGGAGCAAACAGG